rnacentral:tRNA from 1 species
GCCGGGGUGGCGAAACUGGCAGACGCACAGGACUUAAAAUCCUGGGUCCUUCACAGGACGUGCGGGUUCGAUCCCCGCCCCCGGCA